CAAAAAUAGUCCUGCUUGGCAGGCGGCUGGGCUCAAUAACUUAGAGACCGAUUUGUGGCCAGCUAUAUAAAUUGCCGAGUUAUUCUUGGGUUGCUAGUAUGCAAGCUGAGCUUUCAAUACUUUAGUGAAUGUGUGUUUUCCCCUCUUAAGAUGAUCAAAAGUACAGCUGCCAAGGACACCCUGAGAGCCGGGAGUGCUGAAUGAGGAGCUGGGAUGCUGGACUUGAUAGAAUAGGCAAAACGAUAAAACUAACUCCAGGCGUGUGGUACUGGAAGGAUGAUACUAACACACUUGAAUUUGCAAGCUCCAACCGAGCAGCUGAGGAAAACCUUAAGGAAGGACAAAAUAUUCCCUUUCAGGAAAUGCGUGUCAAGACUUUAAAGAGCAUCUUUCGAGGUGAUUGCAGUGCAACUCUCCCUGAAAGAAGGCUGGCUGACAAAGAAGGAAAAUUGCAUAGGCUGUCCAAGUGGCUACAACAUGAAUAUGUGACGUUGGAUGACGUCAAAUAUGCUGCUUUGCUUUUGAAAGAAGCAAAUAAGUCACAUCCCAUGUUGCCAUUUGCAGCAGUUAUCAGGUAUGUCAUUUAGAGUCUGGUUCAAGAAUUAUGUGUGUGUGUAGCUGGUAGUGGAGGGACCAGGGUGUAUGGGAAGUAGAAUAUG
rnacentral:lncRNA from 1 species